rnacentral:misc_RNA from 1 species
GUCGUAACAAGGUUUCCGUAGGUGAACCUGCGGAAGGAUCAUUACCACACCGAUCCACGAUCUUCUUUCUUGCGAAUGGACCGCGCACAGCAGCGAGCUGUCGCUAAGAGAUUGUCGUCGUCGUGGCCAGCACUGAUGGCUGUGGCGAGGAUGGCUCCGGUCAUUUUCUCACUUUUUUGAUCACCAACUUGGGGUCUGAGUGCUGCCAGGAAUUCCCCGUACUCGGGGGAGCAGCUCCAGUCCUCAACUUUUACCACGAACCGGCACGUGAUAUCAGAAACUAAAGUAAAAGGGCGGUCUUCGUUGGUGUGUAUACCGUUUUCACGGAAACUCACGCCGCGAGAUGCUCGAAAUCCAAUCUAGUACAACUUUCAGCGGUGGAUGUCUAGGUUCCCA